GCGAAUCCGUAGCCUUCCGAGGCUCUCAUUCACUAUCCUCUUACACACCUGUGCACCCUUUGCUGAAGCGGAGUGUUAUUAGGCCCACUGCGGGCCGAGCGCCUCCCUUCGGUUCCCACGUAUCAUCUUCAAACCACGUUUACUAGAAUGUCUACCGUCUCGUCGUAAGGGCGAGCACAAACCAGUA
rnacentral:misc_RNA from 1 species